UGGUGAACCUGCGGAAGGAUCAUUA
rnacentral:ncRNA from 3 species